rnacentral:tRNA from 1 species
GGGGUAUAGCUCAGUGGUGGAGCGUGUGCUUAGCGUGCACAAGGUCCUAGGUUCAAUCCCCAUUACUGCCA